ACAAACAACAUCAGCAACGAAUUUAGAGGAAUAGAGUUCUGGGUUAGGAAAUAGGAUGAGAGUCUGGGACAAUUCGCCUAAUGAAGAUUAAGAAAGGGGGAAAUGAGUAGCUUUCAAUUAUACAAGUAGGUGAUGUGGGAGACCUGGGUUGCUAUUUUAGCUCUGCUACUAACUAGCUGCACUUUGGACAAAUGUCUUCAUCGCUCUGAGUUUUCAUUUGCCUGUGUAUAAAAAGGUAAACACGAGACCUCCGACUUAUGAUUGCUGUAAAGAUUAAAGGAGGUGACUGAGGUAAAGGUAGGCACCCCAAGUGGCCACAGCACCAUUAGCCACAGUGACUGUCAUGGCAAUAAUAGUCAUAGAGAUAAUGCCCAGCUAUCUUCCACCUUGAGUGAAAAUUGAGUAAGAAACUGACACACUGUUAUGAGAGGUAUAAGUUGAAUACAUGAAAUCAUUUCCUGACCUGAGAGUGACAACUGACAAACUUGGAGUCUGCGAUUCUCCUGAAUGGUCCCUAUAAUAGAACCCUUUCCAUGAGUUAGCCAUGGCUUUGCUAUGGCUCUACAGGAAGGUAAUGUAGAUGGGUUGGUAUGCAGUAGAAUAUGUGUCUAUGAUCCUAUGACUAGGCACUGGGAGCUGGAAAUGGUAUGAGUCAAAUUCUCGCUCCUCUGUUCCAUGUUCAGACUGGAUGGCAACAUGCCCUCUAAGCCAGAGGGAAAGGAGAUUUCACAUAAGAAAUCAUUUCCAGGUCAACAGCAUUUUUUGGGAGGAGCACUGUGGAUGGCUGUGCAUUCCUGAGUCAUGCAUUCUCUUACAAAGGGUAGUGAAAGAACUACUUGGUUACUUUGGAUUUUUUUUUUUGCCUCGUCAUAAAUGUUCAGUUAGCAGCUGCUCAAGGGAACGCAUGCCAACCUUUCUGCAUUUAAGUAUCUUUACCAUUGGGAGCUCAGAGUAAAGCCUGAAGAUCGCGGAGGAACUAGACACCACCACUCUACAAUUUUAAACCAGGAACUCACGAAGUGCUGGUCAAGUGUGGGUGGGGACUGCUGCUUUGGGAACUUCCAGACACCCACUAAGGGCAAACGGAACAGGCAACAUAGUCACAGAGGAAAGCGGGGCGAGAAGCACACUCAGUGGCGCUCCAGCAGAUACAGAGGAAAUGAGCUCAGACCUGUUUGCGUGCGUCGACCGAGGACAGACACUGCCCAGCACCCCCAGGCCAGCUCGCAGGCGCUCCGGCCCACCGGGGCCAAGGAAGUUGGGCUUCUGUAUUACUCAUCACAACGCAUCUGUCUCAUAUUAAAUUUGCAUUUGGAAGGAUUAGGGAACUUGCUGGCAGAACCAGUGAAAACUUCAAAUAAGAAAAACUGUUUUCUGUUUGAGUCAUAAAGUUUUUUCAAUACAUUCGGCAUUUCAUGAAGUUUGUAAAAAAAAAAAAAUAGCUGAUGGGCUUGCUGUCCAUGCAACGAUGCCUUUCUUUUGCUCAUUAUCUGCCCCACUGUCAUAAAUGAGAUUCCCUGACCCCUCACCUGGAGCACGACAGAGGUCUCUCAAAUGCACUUCUCUUCCCAUUCUCCCUGUUCUGUUGCACUCUCUCCCUCCAGGGACCUCUCUGCGGCCUGGUGGGCAAGUCUUGAAUUUGGAACUCCCUCUUUGACUCCCCCAGCCUGGGUCAGCUGUCUCUCCUCUGGAUGCCCUGGCACUCCCUACUCACCCCAUCACAGCAUUUAUCACGAGGAUGGAGGUUUCUGGUGCAGUUGCCCAUUUUUCUCCCUGACACGGAAGUCUCCUUGAGGUCAGGGCUGUAUCCUCUUCACCGGUGUAUUUCGUGUAUUUGGUACCUCUAGGUAACGAUAAAUAAGUUGUGGGUGACUGAAUGAAUGACGUCACUUGCUGUCAGCUUCUCCUCAUCGAAUUCGGCCUGAAGUCACACGCCUCAGCUCAGUAUUGGGUGGAUUCCAGGGAAGCCUCUGUCCUACGGCAUCCUCAAGCCGUCACUCCCUCUGCUCCUCAGUCCCAUUCCUUGUCCACGCUCUUGGCCAACUACACUGUUGACUGUUUUCUGAAUAGGUGCCACAUCCCCUCUGCUUUUGUGCUUUUGCUAUGCUGUUCCCUCUGCCUAGAAUGAAUGCAUUUAAUGUUCAUCUGGAGAAAUCGUAAGCCCUCUUUAGGGCUAGUCUUCAUCAGACCUUUUCAAGGCUCCCAUUUGGAAUUAAUAUUGCCAUCCUCCCUUGCGUUUUGUUUGUCCCUAUGUAGCACUUGUCACACCUGUCAGUCCCUGCGGAUAGGGACCAGAUCUUUUUACUUAACUCUUAUAGAACCUAGCACACAUACAAGGCACUUAGGAGAUGCUGAAUUCAUGCUUUAGGCAUCAAACUUCUGUGAAGACAACAGCAGCAAAUCCUUGUCUAGCACAUCACAGUUUCCAUCCAUCAUCCAUCUCUCCAUCCAUCCAUCCAUCCAUCCAUCCAUCCAACCAUCCAUCUAUUCAUCCAUCCAUCCGUCCAUCCCCUGAGCUUACAUUAUCUUGUCAUAUCACCACAGCAGCUCCACAAGGAUAGGAUCAAAAUCGAAGGUCAACUCCAUGAGCCUCAGAAUGGCUCACUGACUUGUCUGAGGCCACUCAGUUAACAUCAAUACCUGGAUUUAAAUCUAGGUUUCUGUCUUUAAGCCAGGUGGCCUGCCUAGUUAAGUAAGGUUUUAAAAUCAAGUGUGAUAAGGGACCCAGCUUGAGUGUAAGUUCUAAAACCAAUAUACCAGUGGAUGAGGGAUGGAACACAUUUGAAUACUGCAAUAGUUAUUAAUCUGACAGUUUUGCAAUCCGUUCCCAAGACUCUUGCUAUAAUGAAAGGUUUCACAAGAUCAUAAGGUAGCCUUGCUUGCUUUUCUGGUCACCCAUGCAAGGGAUAAGCACAAAGUUCCUUGCCAUCACCACCAGAGCCCAUAGAGGACAGAUUGGAUGUGGAGGGCAGACCGAAAGUCAUGCCAGAAUCUUUUCCUAACCUGGGAGGAAAAUUCCACUGGCUAAAGUGGGUCCUCGGUCCCCAACUGGGGCCCCACUUUAGUAGCUCAGGGUGUGGGUGUGGGCAGGGGCCACAUGGAUGGCUACCUGGGUAAUUCGAAGGAUUAGGUGCUUGAGCAGGAGAGGAAGAAUGGCAGAGAUCAAAUAGAAGCUGAAAAGAUUGUGUCAUGAACACAAGUGACUCAGAUAUUUGGAGGAAUUUGAGGAGGAUUAGGUUUAUUGCAGAACAAAUGGGAAGAGAAACAAACACACACUAUUUUGUUUCAUAUUGUGACCCAGUUUCUACCUCCCAAUUACCUUCCCUCAUUAUGCCCUUCUUCCUUAGAUUUUUCAAAAUAUUUUAGGUCUCUUUCUUGUCAGACAUUUUUUUUUUUAAUGUGGAACUUUGUAGAAUUGCACAAUUACUCAUGAGAACAGAAAAGCAAGAAAUGAAAAUCUGAAAUAGUGUCUAUUUAAGCAAUUUCUGCUUAUCUGAGAUUGUUCUUUGAUACAUGACAACUUAAAAAAUAAACUACAUAUUAUUUACCUCUAAAACACAGUAGCCAUAGGUUUAAGAUAAUCCAGAUCUAAAAGUUCUGUUUUGCUUUGAAAAUUCAUCUUUGCAAUUAUUUGCUUACCUUCGUAUUGUAUAAUAAAAGUUAUUAUUCACACCAAAAGGAA